GAAAACGCAAAUCCGAACCUCGGGUUUGGCCGAAAAGCCGUCUGUGUACCGGUACGCGGGCCCAUACCGGUACAGCCAUCAACCCUGUACCGGUACAGCCACCAAGCCCGUACCGGUACACAGCCUGCUGGAGGCUUCCCGAGAGCUGACCAAAAAUCCAACUUUUUGGAUUUUGGUACGCCGCUUAAACCACAAUUCUCGGGACUCGAACCAUAGGUCGGAAC
rnacentral:lncRNA from 1 species